ACCCUUUUGUCCUCUUUUGCUUCCCGCAACGCCUCUUACUCCACCGGAUUCCAAAACAUCAGGGCGGGACAAACCCCCGACAGGGUCACCGGACUUUUCCUUUGUCGCGGAGACCUAUCCCCGGAAGUUUGCAGUAACUGCGUUGCCUUCUCCGUU
rnacentral:sRNA from 1 species